AUUUUGCUAAUUUCAGGAUGCUCUUUUGAACUAUAAUAGUGAUAUAUUUCGUCUUUGUUGUCUUGAUCAAAAAUUAGUAGAUACCUGGAAUCAUCUGUUUGGGGUCUGCUAUUAUCGUUACCACUAAAAUUAUUUUGAAAAGAACAUUUUCGAGUGCAGGAGGGUUGUUUUUAAAAACCACUUUAAAAAUGGCGUGCGCACAGAAAUGGAAGGCUUAGAACCCGAUUUGAAUUCAUCGGGUGCAAAUUUAGAAGUUGUUUUAUGCGCUAUCAAGGUACCGGACAAUUUGAUGUACAUGAGUACAUUAAGUCCAACUCGCGGCCUCUAAAACUUGGACUUUUUUGCCGUAGUAGCCUUUCACGUAUAAUUUUUAAACUUUGUGUAAAGAAUUCAAAGGAAGAGGUAAUGCCCUUCCCCUGCGCCCCCUUUUUCCGACGUCCCUGGUUAUUGGAAACAGUUAUCGCAUCUCUGAUUCUAGACUCAUUG